rnacentral:rRNA from 1 species
AUUGAACGCUGGCGGCAGGCUUAACACAUGCAAGUCGAGCGGGGGAAGGUAGCUUGCUACCGGACCUAGCGGCGGACGGGUGAGUAAUGCUUAGGAAUCUGCCUAUUAGUGGGGGACAACAUCUCGAAAGGGAUGCUAAUACCGCAUACGUCCUACGGGAGAAAGCAGGGGAUCUUCGGACCUUGCGCUAAUAGAUGAGCCUACGUCGGAUUAGCUAGUUGGUGGGGUAAAGGCCUACCAAGGCGACGAUCUGUAGCGGGUCUGAGAGGAUGAUCCGACACACUGGGACUGAAACACGGCCCAGACUCCUACGGGAGGCAGCAGUGGGGAAUAUUGGACAAUGGGGGGAACCCUGAUCCAGCCAUGCCGCGUGUGUGAAGAAGGCCUUAUGGUUGUAAAGCACUUUAAGCGAGGAGGAGGCUACUCUAGUUAAUACCUAGGGAUAGUGGACGUUACUCGCAGAAUAAGCACCGGCUAACUCUGUGCCAGCCGCCGCAGUAA